AACCAGCUCAAACCAAGCUGCCAUACUUCAACAGGGGUAUAAUACAGAUAAACACAUGAUAAAGGUUGGCUUUAUGAAUAUUAGAUCCCUUUCUACGAAAGUGUUUUUUGUAAAAUAUAUGAUCAUAGAUCAAAACCUAGAUGUGUUCUUUUUGACAGAAACCUGGCUAAAACCGUAUAUCUCUCAAGAUUACUGUUAUAAACUUGAGCCGCUUCCAAAAGGUAAAGGGAGUGGUGUUGCUGCAAUUUAUCUCAAUUUUUUCGAUAUUUCUGAUUUCAUGUAUAAUUUGUUUGAAAUAAUGGUGCUUUAUGUAACAUUAUCUAGUGUAAUAAGUGUUAAUAAUAAAUACCUAUUGACAUUUGUACUGAUUACUGUAUCCAGGGCACCAUACUGCUAGUGCUGGCUGCAGAUAAAAUCUUAAUUAUUGAAGGUUUUAAUAUCCAUGUUGAUAAUGAAAAAGAUGCAUUGGGAUCAGCAUUCAUAGACAUUCUAAUAUCUAUUGGGGUUAGACAACAAGUGUCUGGACCUACUCAUUGUCGUAAACAUACUCAAGAUUUAAUACUGUCAAAUGGAAUUGAUGGUAAUGGUGUUGAAAUUCUGCAGCAGAGUGAUGAUCUCUUAUAUCAUUAUCAAGUCUUGUGUAUACUCCAUAUAGAUAAAGCUGCAAAUUCAACUCCUUGUUACAAUUGUACAACCAUAACUUCUACCACAAAAGACUGCUUUGUAAAUAAUCUUCCUGACUUCUCUCAAUUCCUCAGCAUAUCCUAUAGCUCAGAGAAACUUUGUUGUAACAGAAACUAUGGUUUCUCUCUUUUCUAGCACUUUUGAAACAGUUGCAACUUAAGUCUUAAAGAAGAUUAAGGAAAACAGUCCGACACCAUGACCUCAAGAAAGCAGCCCGGAAAAUGGAGCACAGCUGGAAGAAAACAAAACUAGAGGUUUCACACUGCAUAGAGGGAAAGUACCUUAAAAAUGGCUAUCUGCUUACUUAACAAACACAAUCUCAGGUAUAUAUUCAGUACAGUGGCUAAAUUAAAGAAAAAUAAAGCAUCAACAGGUGCUGACAUUUCAAAGCAUCACUGCAGUAAUGACUUUAUGAACUUCUUUACUUCCAAGAUUGAUACUAUUAGAGAUAAAAGUAUAACCAUGCAGUCAUCAUAUACAGUAUUGCAUCAGAUUGCGCACUAUAGAUCCCCUGAGGCACAAUUCUGCUCAUUCCCUGCUAUAGGAUACAAAGAAUUGUAUAAACUUGUUAAAUCAUCUUAACCAAAAACAUGUAUGUUAGACCCUAUACCGUUAAGCUACUAAAAGAUGUGCUUCCAGAAGUCAUAGAUCCUCUUCUGAAUAUUAUUAAUUUGUAAUUGUCAUUAGGUUAUGUCCUAAAAACCUUCAAACUUUAAACUUCAUCAAUUUGUAUAAGUAAAUGAUGAGGUAUCAGAUUGAUCACAAGUGCAUUAUGGAGUACCAAAAGGCUCAGUACUAGGACCGUUGCUUUUCAUGCUUUAUGUGUUAACCUUGGGAGAUAUCAUCGAGAAACAUGGUGUUAGCUUUCACUGUUAUGGUGAUGAUACUCAUCUCUAUAUUUCUUCAUGCCCUGACGAAGCAUACCAAUUUGCAAAACUAAUGGAAUGCAUAGUUGAUAUAAAAAACUGUAUGAAUAGUAAUUUCCUACUGCUAAAUUCUGAAAAAAGAAAAAAAAAGGUGUUAAUUAUCAAACCAAAAACAGUCUGCGUGUAAAAACCUAACACUUUCUAACACUUGAUGGCUGCUCUGUCAGUUCUUCGACAUGAGUUAGAAACCUACUGUAGGUGUGCUAUUUAAUAGCAAUCUUUCCUUUGAAAGCCAUGUUUCUAGCAUUUGUAAAACUGGAUUUUUCCAUCUUUAGAAUAUAUCUAAAUUAUGAACUAUGCUUUCAAUGUCAAAUGCAGAAACGUUAAUUCAUGCAUUCACAACCUCAAGGUUAGUUUAUUGUAAUGCUUUAUUGAGUGGUUGUUCUGCGUGCUUAAUAAACAAACUCCAGCUUGUCCAAAUGCAGCAGCUACAGUAGAGUUCUUACUAAAACCACAAAAUAUGACCAUAUUAGCCCGGUUCUGUCAACUCGGUACUGGCUCCACACACAACCCUUGGAAAGUGCCUAUCAACAUAAACUUGUUGAUUAUACUGUUGAAUAAAAGCAAUAGUGCUUUUGUUAGAAACUGCACUUUAGCUUGUUUACUAAUAGCUUGAAUAUCUUUAGCCUACAGUAUAUUAGCAGAUGUACCAGCGAUGGAAGUUUUGCAAAACCACUGUUCAUUUCAAAGAUAUGACAAGAGAAAGGGCUGCUUAGCAAAUGAGGUCUGAUGACAUUACCAUAGGUACACAUACUCAGCUUUCAGUUUCAGUAUUUUCUUUUGCAUUAAGUACAACUACCCAGCUAACAAUAUUUGGCUCUCAAAACAUUUGGGGAAGGUCAGUUGGUUACAAAUAAAGAACCUACAGAGAACUUUCCCAGUUUACAUUUGUUUCCCCCAAAAAUCCCAAACGGAAAACCAUAUGGGAACAUUACAGAAAUGUUCUGUGUUUGCUAAUAGCUAGCAACUAAUGAACUCACACACACACACACACACACACACACACACACACAGUACACCUUAUAACUGAAAGUAAUUAGCCUGUGACUCAGAAAUAGUGCUUAUUUGCAGAGAAGUGUUUCUGAGAACUGUGGUAUGAUGCAAAUGUUUUUCCAUUUUGGAAACAUGAAACCUUCCUCUCAUGAAUCUUUGGUCUAUUGCCUUUGAAAUGCUCUCUGCUCCUAACCCUACAGAAGUAUAAGGGGGUCAGAGGUCCCGUAUCUGAAUGUCUCUUGAAAGGAUGCCCUCUCAGUUUCAGAAGGACCCAGAGGGAUGCACAAUGCAGUGAAAAGGCCACGGGUCUCCUGACCCUCAGAUACAUUCCACCGCCCACUGCUUAAGAUAUAUGGUCAUGCAGUGAGCAGGCAUUUUCAUUCUAAAUAGAAAUGGGACAGAAUCAGUUGAGGACCCUGGUUUGCUGAUACUGAUAUGGAAGAACUUGACCAGUCAACCUGAACCCCAUACCACACUUCUUGGAUGUAUUGAAAUGCAGACUGUCAGCCAGACCCUGUCGCCUGUCAUCAGAGCCUGACCUCAAUGAAACUCUUGUGUCUUGUCUCUUGUGAACCGUGAUCCAGCGUUUACUGGAAAGCCUUCACAGAAGAGUUAAUGCUCAUGGUCAACAAGCACAAAUAGUAUGAUGUUCUGGUGUCGAUGUACAUUUGGCUGUCUGUUUGUACAAACUAAUACGGUAGUUUAAUCAAACAAUUUUUUUUUUUUUUUGGGUACCCUUGAGUAUGAACAGGCGAGUUUUCUGGGCCAAGCACUUCAUCACCCUCCCCUUUGUCCCCCAAUUUUCUGUUUUUGGCAGAGCUUGAAGGCUUUUACAUAAUCAAGCCAGACACUGUGAGACUGAUUAAGAUUUUGAUUGCAGGAGAGGAGGACGAGGACAGAGAGCUCACGCAUGCAUAUUCAUCCAGACAUCCAUCUUUUGUUUGCAGACAUUAUAGGGCACAUCACAAAUAAUCAAAGUCUUUUGUAUUCUAACUUUUUACACUGUGUCCUUCCAAAUAAUUCCAAAUACUUUGAAUUUUUUGGUUUCUUGAAACAUGUGUUUCCAAUAAAGUAUCGACUCUAACCUGAA
ensembl:lncRNA